UACGAAGGGGACUAGCGUUGUUCGGAAUUACUGGGCGUAAAGCGCACGUAGGCGGAUUUGUAAGUCAGGGGUGAAAUCCCGGGGCUCAACCUCGGAACUGCCUUUGAUACUGCAAAUCUCGAGUCCGAUAGAGGUGGGUGGAAUUCCCAGUGUAGAGGUGAAAUUCGUAGAUAUUGGGAAGAACACCGGUGGCGAAGGCGGCUCACUGGCUCGUAUCUGACGCUCAGGCGCGACAGCGUGGGGAUCAAACAGG
rnacentral:rRNA from 1 species